CCUAAGCCCCUUUUCUUGAAACGUUGCAGCGCUUUCACCCAUCAGCCACGCGACUCAACAUCUAUGCGUCUCCUUACAUAGCGCAUCUCUUUGGUCGGUGAUGUGCCAUCUUCUCCGAUUGGCAACUUCUCUGCUUCUCCAUAUCAGAUUUGUUUUCUCUCCACGGGGGAAUAAGUGGUAGACAAGGUUUUGUCGCUCUACAAGUCAGUCUCGAAGAAAAGAAAGCCUCAGGGUCACGAAGUUACUGUCUUAGCUGCAUUUCUCGUCUCCUCUCCUUCUCAAGACGUGGAAGUUAUUUCACUGGGAACCAGCAAGAAAUGUAUUGGGCAAUCCCUCUUGAGCGCCUGCGGUGAUGUUGUCAACGAUUCUCAUGCCGAAAUUGUUGCUCAAAGAGCUUUGUUAAGGGUUUUUUUAAAAACUAUUUUAUUUUAAUUUCUACUUAUGUUUUUGUUGCUUCUGUGAAGAAUUCCCAUUUGAUGGAAAGAAGAUCAAAUGGGAAUGUUGUAUUUAUGUUAAUUUCUUGGUAGUC